GAUGAGGCCUAUCGCAAUAGUUUAACUUUUCUAUCGAGAAAAAGUUAUGUCGCAAUAUAUAUCGUUAUCGUUCUAUCGCCCAGCUCUACGUGGCCCCUUUUAAAUUUAGGCUUAUGGCCUCUACCUCUUAUGCGUAUCGCAGCCGGUUCAGCCACAGGAUCAAACAGUGGCUUAGUUUUUGCAGAGCACCACUCAACAAAAUGAUGGUAGUAGAGAACCAUUCCAAGGAAGGACCUGAUUUUCCUCGCACACAGUGUCACCCCGUCAGACUCCAUCAGGUCUGCUUUCUGCACAUUGUCUAUAGCCUGCAUUUUACUUGGGUCUGUUUUCACACCCUCACCACAUAUGAUGUGUCCCAGGAACUUCCCAGACCGCUGAAGAAAGUGGCAUUUCUUAGAUGAGAGCUUCAGGUUGUUGGCAGAAAGGCGCGAGAAAACCAUCUGCAGACGUUCAAGUGCCACCUGUUCAGAUGUGGCAUAGACCAUAAGGUUAUCCAGAUAACACAACAAGCUUGCGCAGUUCUCAUCACCAAAAAUGGACAUUCGCAUAAAAGUAGCAGGACUAUUUGUCAGGCCUUGAGGCACCAUGUUAUACUCAUGAAGGCCAAAUGGGGAGAAUGCCGUGUAUUUUUUGUCGUCCUCGUGGAGUCUGACAUUGUAAAACCCUGAUGUGAGAUCCAUUGAAGAGGAAAAGACAUUUCCCACCAAGUGCUGCAAGGGCGUCUGACUGAUGAGGCAAUGGAUGUGAAUCUUUAACUGUUCUUGCAUUUCAUCAUCUGAAGUCAUUGCAUAUGCGCAAGCUCACCAUUUCACCGGACAAGGGGGAUGAGAAUUCACUCUGGGAUUUAUGGAUUUUUCCUGACUCCUCCAUCUAAUCUAGAGUAGUGCGAAGCUUCUCGAAGCCAUAUAUUGAUACUGUAAGAUCAUAUGUAGCAGAAGGUAUAACAAGGUGACCCCCACAACCAAUAAUGACAAUGUCUUCGGCUGAACGUCUCUCAAUAUCAGGUAUAGAUUGUGAAAGUUUCUCAUCAACUGUCUCACUUACGGUGCACGCCAUAGAUCCACUGUCCACUAAUGCUUUAAGAACUUGUCCACUACUAGUAGUCACUGCAGAGUAGAAUAAGCUAUCAGUAUUUGGGAGCCUAUGCAAGCCCUGUGCAAUCAGUGUUUCAUUUGGCGGUAUGAUGCCACUGUAAGUGGAAUACAAAGUCUCAUAAUCUGUGUAGUCAUGUCCAAAGUGGGAAGCUUACUUGCUGGAUCUGCGCUGUCCUCCACGCAGAUCGUUCAGUUUCCCUGAUGACCAUUGAAAGGAGGACACUUGCCCUCUGGGCAGUUGCGUCUCGAAUGAUCAGGUACAUGACACAGGAAGCACAAUCUGUUUUCCCCACAGUGCAUGAGGGUGGAGUGGGAGCUAUCUCUGCAUAUGGAACAUGGUGUGUCAUCCAAACACGGUAUUUUUCGCAGUCGGGUACUCCGUCACCUGACAUUAGCUCGAGCAUAGCCUGGGACUUGAAGCAGCACCUUCUCUAGCAUGCUGAUCAACCUCUCAAUAGCAGUGCUAUCCUGACUCACAGCUGGUCUCUGCUCGUGGUCAGCCAAGCAAAGAGUAGCAUUUGCGCUAACCUCUGCCUUAUUCACAUAGACACAGUCACCCGUCUGUGGAGAAGACUGGAACCCUUUUCCCCAGGUGAUACUUAUCCAGUACCUCCUGAACUUCACGAGCUGACCAUUUAUCACAUGUUUUGACUCACAUCAGUUAUUGGGGGGUCUGAGGCCGAUGCCUUAGUGCACUGUACCGACAGCGACUCAGCCACAAGCCCACAAGGGCUAUCUGCUGCUCUAUGCCCCACCCGACAGUCACCCAGUGAAAAAGGAACAGCUGUGAACCCUCUACCCCUACCCACAUCAAGUUUAUAAGGUGGGGGUGAAUUCAGAGGUGGAGUCUGUCCAGCUGAUCUGCAAAACCACAGUUUGUCUGCCUAAAGAUGCUAAAGUGGAGUGGAAGGA